CCUACGGGUGGCUGCAGUGAGGAAUAUUGGUCAAUGGACGCAAGUCUGACCCAGCCAUGCCGCGUGCCGGAAGACGGCUCUAUGAGUUGUAAACUUCUUUUGUCAAUGGACAAAAUCAGGCUCGAGAGCCUGACCGAGGGUACUUGAAGAAAAAGCAUCGGCUAACUCCGUGCCAGCAGCCGCGGUAAUACGGAGGAUGCGCGCUUUAUCCGGAUUUAUUGGGUUUAAAGGGUGCGUAGGCGUACUGUUAAGUCAGCGGUAAAAUUGCGGGGCUCAACCCCGUCGAGCCGUUGAAACUGGCAGACUUGAGUUGGCGAGAAGGACGCGGAAUGCGCGGUGGAGCGGUGAAAUGCAUAGAUAUCGCGCAGAACUCCGAUUGCGAAGGCAGCGUACCGGCGCCAGACUGACGCUGAGGCACGAAAGCGUGGGGAUCGAACAGGAUUAGAUACCCGAGUAGUC
rnacentral:rRNA from 1 species